rnacentral:rRNA from 1 species
GCCAGACUCCUACGGGAGGCAGCAGUGGGGGAUAUUGCACAAUGGGGGGAACCCUGAUGCAGCGACGCCGCGUGGGUGAAGGAGCGUUUCGGCGCGUAAAGCCCUCUCGGCAGGGAAGAAGGAGGACGGUACCUGACUAAGAAGCCCCGGCUAACUACGUGCCAGCAGCCGCGGUAAUACGUAGGGGGCAAGCGUUAUCCGGAUUUACUGGGUGUAAAGGGGGCGCAGACGGCAGCGCAAGCCAGGAGUGAAAGCGCGGGGCCCAACCCCGGGACUGCUCUUGGAACUGCGCGGCUGGAGUGCAGGAGGGGCAGGCGGAAUUCCUGGUGUAGCGGUGAAAUGCGUAGAUAUCAGGAGGAACACCGGUGGCGAAGGCGGCCUGCUGGACUGCGACUGACGUUGAGGCCCGAAAGCGUGGGGAGCAAACAGGAUUAGAUACCCGUGUA